GCGUAAAGCCGUAAAGGAUGGUGGUGAAACUUUGUCAUUCGUUGAUUGCGAUUUGCGAGUAACCUUUGUUUCUUUCCUCAGCGACCUCGAAGUAGGGUUUGCAGGAACCAUUUUUGCCGGUUUUGGAAAUUCAGACUCGCGGACAAUACCAAGGUUUUUUAGUUCAUCGAUCAUCAAAAAUCAAACCUUCUAAAUCGUCGGUUCUUUGGUUGAAGACAAAAGUAUGUCGGGCAGAAAUCGUGCACCGCCGCUUCCAAUCAAGGGUCUACCACACCCCGGGCUUCCCCCCAUGCACGAACUUCAAUUCGGUAGGGGUCUUGGUCCCAUGCCUCAUCCAGCCCUCCUUGAAGAAAUGAGAGAAGCUCAAUUCAGAGAAGCUCAAUUCGGGCGAGGCCCAAGACCUCUACCCCCUCACCCUGCCGUCAUCGAGGAGAACCUAGCAGCUCAACAUCAGGAAAUUCAAGGGCUUCUCAUCGAUAACCAGAGAUUAGCUGCAACCCAUGUGGCUUUAAAGCAGGAAUUAGAGGCUGCCCAGUAUGAGCUUCAACGCAUGGCUCAUUUUGCUGGUUCUAUGCAGGCCGAUAAGGAUAUUCAGCUUAAAGAAGCUUAUGAGAAGUCCAUGAAAAUGGAAGCUGAUCUUCAUGCAGCAGAGGCUAUGAGGGCGGAGCUUCUGCAAGUUCGCUCUGACAUUCAGAAGCUCACAGUUUCAAGGCAAGAGCUUACUAGUCAGGUUCAGGCGCUCAGUCAAGAUUUGGCUAGAGCUAAUGCGGGAUUGCAGCAAGCACCAGCUUUGAAGGCUGAAAUAGAGACCAUGAAACAGGAAUUGCAGCGAGCUAGGGCUGCUAUUGAUUAUGAGAAGAAAGGGCAUGCUGAAAAUUACGAACAGGGUCAAGCCAUGGAAAAGAAUCUGAUUGCGAUGGCUCGUGAGGUGGAGAAGCUGCGGGCAGAGAUUGCUAAUGCAGAAAAGAGAGCACGUGCUGCUGCUGCUGUUGGAAAUCCUGGUCCAGGUUAUGGUGGGAAUUACGGCAAUCCGGAUACUACAUACGGAGGAAAUCCCUAUCCUGCUGGCUAUGGCAUGAGUCCUGUACAGGCUGGUGCUGAAGGGGGACAUCAAUAUGGAUCUGGGCCUCAAUAUGGACCUGGACCAGGUGCAUGGGGUGCUUAUGACAUGCAGCGAGCUCAUGGACGCAGAUAAACUAGUGUGAUGUUAUGCUGAGUCGUCUUCUCCUUGUUUUGCUAAUCUGCUCCUGGUUUCUUAGGCUACUACUUAGUAGAUGCCCAGGGGAAACCUUCUCCACCCAAAUCUGCUGUUUUACUGGUACCACGUGCUACCUCGACUCCAGCAUCUAGGAGAAAUGGUUGAAAUAAUCUAGUUUUUCGGGAGCGCACUAGUUCUCUGCCAACUUUGAAGAAAUGCUUAAAGCAUUGGGAAAUAGGAAGGGGGGGGGGCAUUGUGCUAAAAUGUACUGUGCACUCACUAACCUAGGCGCCAUACGAAAUUAAAUUUUAAUCACUAGAAAUACCCAGUAGUUACUUUAUUAGCUUAAAUCUGUUCCCAGGUGGCACUGUCUUGGAGUAAUUUUUUUACUGGCACAAUUGCUGGUAUCCCCAAACAAAAUGUGGAAAUUCACAUAACUUUCCUACAAGGAUGAAUCUGAUACCUGUAUUAUGCAUAAGCUCCCAUAGUUUCUUGUGUGUUUUUA